UCCCUGGCAGUCUAGUGGUUAAGAUUCCACACUGCUAAUGCAGGGGGCAUAGGUUUGAUCCCUGUUUAGGGAA
rnacentral:tRNA from 1 species